UACUUUUGGGUCAAAAUUACAGAUUUAAAAAUGACAAAAGUACUAGUAGCAAAUUGUUCUUUAAAUAUAGGUAUAUAUAGAUACAUAAUUAUGUAAAUACUUUCUCAUUCUACUAUCACAGUGUUAACCUCUUGGCAACAGCCUAAACUAAGACUUGCAGCUGGGAAGGCAUUAGGACCCAGAUCCUUGGCCAACAUUAAUCUUCUUGGCUCCAUUGAAUUUAAUGGAACUGCCCCAACUACUUCAGCUACAUCAAGAUCUGAACCUUGACUGUUUUUUCUCUUGUUGACUCCUUACUUGGUAAUCUGCUGAACCACUGACUUCCUUUUGUUUGUAUGUCAUCAAUUCUGCUUAAUUUAGGGGCGAAAGUAUUAGCAGGUUUUGCUGGAUAGCCUUGGCUCCUGGUGAGCACAGAAGCCUGGUAAAUCAACAGGUCACAUACAAGCAUCCCUACUUGUUCAGAAAGAGAUAAGUGGAGAUGUAGGUGCUGUGUAUUGAUUUGGACUUAAAGAUUUUGUUUUUAUUCCUAGUUUAAUAAUUUCCCUGUAGGGAAAGAAAAUGGAGAAAUACACUCAGGAGAGAGUCCUUGACCUGCGGACUGAACAAGAAAGCAAGUCCAUUGAUACAUUUUGUUUCCUUUCUUUCUCUCUCAGUAAAUAACAAAGCCAGCAACCACCCAGCAAGUUGCAUCAGUAAAAACUGGGCUGAAACCUACAGGACAGAUUGCAAUUGAAACCCAACUGUUUGUACCAAUCACAAUUGAAAUGUUGUUGUUUGGCAACAAGAGCGCAGCUUGAGAAUGGAAAGAUCCGGUCUCCAUGCGCUUGGGGAGACCUUUUCCAAAGGAUAAAGUUACUAAAGUAUAAAAGAGAGAGCAAGAUCAGGCCAUAAUGAAUUCCCAUCUGCUCCCUCCAAUCUGUGCACUUGAUGCAUAUGCCAGUUUGCUGUUCGUUUUGAGGGUACUGGAUUUUUUUCUUCUUCUCUUCCUAGACCUGGAGCAUUUGAAAGUAGGAGCUGAAAGGUAUUGAUUGAAAUCUUUUUAUGGUGACAUUCUUGGCAGCUAGAACCUGUGUUUAGAAAGAAUACAGUAGAUCAUGGCCAGAUUACCUGAUGACUGCUUCCCAGCACUGCAAUGCUAUUAAGUAGGAGCUGGUAAAGUCUUGCAGUAGCCUGUUAAUUAUAAUACAAUAUGGAGAGAAAUGUCAUCUUGUGUAAUGUGAGACCUAUCAAGGCUGGGAAUAUGCAGGCUUUGGAGAGACAGAUUUAAAGAUCUAUUCCCAACAUUGUUCUUAAUGUCCUUGGGUUGUUCCCCCUCCUUCUUUCUUCACCCUAAUGUAGAAGAAACUGGGGCAAAUGAACCGGUGCCAUCCUCUGGACCAUUCUCAUUGUCUUGUGCCUGGUGCAGUCAAAAGUUUGUGUAGGAGAAAAGCAGGAAGAUGCUGGAGGGCAUCGCUUUUAUUCUGUGUGGCUGAUUCUCUGCAGCAAGGGAGGCGGGCGGCCGUGCUUUGUGUCAGGAUGUGCCUGGAAAUUAAGAAUAGAAAAAGGUGGUGGUGAUUUGCUGAGGCAGGAAAGGUCCUUUAAGAACAAGGUGGAAAGGGAAAGGGUCUUGUGCCUUGAGAGUUGUUGGGCUUUCCUGGGCCUCCAGAAAAACACAUGCCCAAGCUAUAGAGAGAGGUUGCCGGCAAAUCCCUUCAGUCUCCGGAGGAAACACUCUGUUCUCCCCUCUGUGGUCAGUGAAAGAACAUUGGGCUGUGGUUUCUUGGAAUAGCUAGCACUAGGGAAAAAGUGUUUAAAAUUUCUGCCUUUGUUUGGGAAAGCACCGGAAUACGGGAAAGGUAGAGAAUCUCUUGUGUAUCCACAGAUCAGUUGGCUGCAAUUACAUCUGCAGUUCAUUAGUGUGCACUUGGGUUCACUGAUGACUCACUGAUGCCUCCAGUAAGGUGUAUUCUGGGGGAGUUUAAAAGAUCGCAUGGAGUGGCCCACUGAUUUUGGACCUGGCUUCAGUUAAGUCCAGCUUCUCGAUCUAAUAGUAGCAGCUGAGGUCUGUAUGUCCUGGUGUCACAGGCAGAGGGAACUGGGGAGGCACUGGGGAGUUAUCUUAGAGAAACUACAUUUUUUGGAGAGGAAGAAACUUGAGGGGUCACAUUGAUUUUUUAUUACCAAUGCCCUUUUCUAAACAUUCACAGAAGACUUUUAUCCUAGAGUUAGGAAAAGAAGAAAGAUUAAAUUCUAGUUAAAAUUUUGAACAAAAUUUUGAAUUAUCACGUACUUUAGCAUUCACUUCCUACUGAAAAUUAUUAGAGAACUUUAUGUAAUGCAGUUUGUUCCUUCAGAAAAGUGAGCAAAAUGGGGCAACAGAGAUUUCUUUGGGUGUUUUUUCUUGCUUGCUCUCUGCAAGAAUUGGAUUUUUAAAAAAAGCUCUUGAGUUUCGUCAAGUUCAUUAGUCAUUCAUAGUGUACUAGGAAUUUCAGUAGCUAAUCCUUGGCCUCUAAAUCCGUUUGUUCUGAGUAUUUGGUGCUGGAAACCAAAUCUGGCUGAUUUUUAUUGGACUCUUUUGAAAUUCUUGGAAUCAGGUUUCCGGUUAGAAACAUGCAUUUGCAAAUUUAGAGUUGGCUUCCUGUGAGCAUUCCCCAUUUUCAUUAAAAAAAAAAAAUCCGUGCACUUCUCUGCCAGUAAACCCUUUUGCUUCUUUUACAUCAAAAAUGGCAAUAUUCUGACUCAGUUUAGAGGAUUACAAGCCUAUUAAUUUAAAGAGAAGUGUGACUGCUUAUUCUGCUCUUGGUGUGAUCCAUAUCCUUGGAGCAAAGGGCAUUAUCUAUAUAUCUGUAGUUAUGACUGAUUAAUUUUACAGCCACCUCUCUUUGUAAUCUGUUAGGAGUGCACAUCAAAAUAGAUUGCAUUUUUCAGUAAAGCCUGCUCUUUACUCAGUAACUUAUGGGAUUAAAAUAAUUUUAUUCUCUUUAAAAAGUGCUUUCAUCUAUAAUGUGAUGUGAAAGGUGUCUAGGCAUUAACCUGUAGUGGUCUGUAGCAGAGAGGAAGAUUUUAAAUGGGUUAAUGGGCCUGAUUUUUAGUGGUACUGGUUUCUACAAUGUUAGGACACAGCUCACAAAGUAGCCAUGUGGACCUAAAGUAUGUUUACUGCAAGGUGAAGAAAUUCUCAAUUGUCAGAGUUUGCAAAUUUCUUUCUGUUUACAAGGGCUUCCCUAAAUUUGUGCUGUCAGGCAGGAGGUCAGUAAUGAAACCCAACCCUUCAAAACUGGGCUUUCAUGGGGCAUUAUUACUGUUGCCCAGGCCCUGGGCUAGCUUGUUCUGAUUUGAAAGAAGCCAGACAACAGACACUCCUUCCUCCAGAGAGAACCUUUGGAGACAACUGCAGCAAAGGUGCUUAUUUCAGCCAAGGGCAGGAGCUACAGUAAUGCAGCUCCUUCACUGGAUAAAUUCCUUUCCUUAACUCUUGCUGUGCUUUUUAACGUAAUGAGGGGGGACGAGGGAGGCUGCCAGAGUCACCUGAAGUCAGUGUGGGAUUUUAGGAAAAGGGUGAUGAAAUUGACUUUUCUGCUAGUAAUCCACAUUUUAGCUUGGCUUAAUAGCAUUUAAAAACAAAAGUGGAUGGCCUGCAGGGGCAACUGGAGAGCUUGAGAAAGUACAUUUAUAUAUAUAUAUAUGGUAUUGUGUAGUUAGAGAUAUGCUUUAUUGUAUAUGUGCCUUUUCCAAAUGCAUUUUGGGAGAUCCUGAUGUCGUUUGUGAUAUCCUACCAGACCCUUUCAGAAUGCACAACAAAAACCAACCCAAAGGAAACAUCCCUCCUCUUGCUCUGCACCCUCUUUGGCAGCUUGACCCAGAGAGAGGACCCUAUUCAGUACUUUGCUGUGAGAUUUCCUGGAGUCACACAGCUUUUAGGAGUGGGAAGGGCUGCAAAUUACCCCAGCAAAGCACAUUCCAGCUAUCCAGCCAGAGCUGGUCUGUAGCUAGUCCCAGGGAGCACAGCAUCCCCAGUACAAUGCCAAGGCUUGCCAUGGCAGCCCCCAGCUGCACCGUGCCCUGCGGAGAGCCAGGGAAGCGUCUCCUGUUUCCUCCCUCUCAGCGCUUUAAGUAAAGCACCUUUGGAAGUGGACUUUGCUCUGCUUUAGAGUUCCCACAUAGGUCUGGGAGCGGACUUUAAAGCACUUGCUUCUUGCUUCAGCCUGGGAAAACAAAUGUGGUGAGUCCUUUGGAAGUGGUUUGCAAGUUUGCCUGUCUCGCUGCUGUCGCCGCAGGAAUUGGCAUAGGGAUGAGAAAAGCUCAUCAGGAGGAGGCAUUCAGGGGGCUCACGAGGUGGAGCACCGCGGUGAUGAGCACAGUGCUGGUUCUGGGACUUUCCCAGCGGGUUGGUGACCUGGUUUCAGGUGCAGUUGUUCCCCCUGCAGGGCUGCAGAGCUGAGUGUGCCAGCACAGCCAAGGCAGGAGGGUCACCGUGGGCGAGGUGGCUGGGCCAGCAGGCUUUGGGCAGACCCUGUGCCCUGCAACAGCCCAGAGCCACCCCCUUGGCAACGCUCUGCUGGGCCCAGGCCAGAGCAGCCAAAGAGGGGUGGUGAGGGGAGCAGUUAGGUAGAAAAGAGCUAGUGUUUCCUUCAUAGUGAGUAGAUUCCUGUAUAUCCAAUUGAUGUGUUCUGAGAUAAAAGCAAAGGAGAACAUCACUGGUUUCCAAUUUAGUUUCUAAUUCGACCUCCUACAACAGCACCUUAAAAGGUGGGUUGUGUCCUUCUCAUACCCAGCUCUGAAAUGUGCAGAGGACGGUCAGGAGGAGGGCUGGGCUCAGGCUUUGCCAUGCUGCAUGCUUAACAGGCCAAGAAAACAGUAAAACCAGUGUCUGUUUAAUUCACCUACCUUCCCAGUUGAUCAUGCAGAUUCCUGGUUCCUGUUCGCUUCCAGCCUUUGGAAAGGUGUUUAUCAGUGUGCACACUUGGGUCCUCAUCUUUGAAGAUAACUUCCCAUGCUAUCUCCUUCUUUACAAACUUCUCCUUUUCAUCUUGGGGCCUAAUUACUCAGUGGACAGAAACAACCAUUUCAACAGAAACCUGCAUAGUUGUAGUAAAACUAAUAUUUUUUUACCGUUGGAAAAGAAAAACACAAAAAAACCCAGUGAUAUUUUAACUAGCAGUAUGUGAAGUAUUUCAACAGAGUGAAAGACAGUGAAGCUAAUCAGCUCAUGUCUUGAGAGAGGAUUGUACCGUGUGGACCCUGUUGGGAGAAAGGGAGCAGCCUGGCCCGGAGCUGGGGCCAGCGCUUCCUUUCCAUAGCGGGUGCUGCUUUAGGCGACUGCACUGCAGCCCAGGAAAACAUUUGAGCACCAUCAGCCUCAUGCCAUCCCUUUGGCUGGAUGUGGACAUGCACAGGAGCCUGGCAGCUGCCCAUGUGUCUGAUCACUCCCAUCAGCCGUGGGUGAUGGUCAGGGUGCAGCACAGCAGCUCUGGGCAGGCCUGGCUGGCGGCGCUGAAGGCGUUCCCUUAUUCCGUGUAGCAGCCUUAAUCCCUGGCCCUGGGCUCGGCGGUACCUGGGCACACACAGCCUCUGUCUCUGUCACCAGGCUGGCUAAAGGAUGGGGGAGCACGGCUCCUUACAGCCACAACGGGGCCACUUUGCAGUAAAUUGGGCCAUUUAGUUUUACCUCAAGUGACAUUGAGUAAGAAAAGCUUCUUUGCAGGGGUGGAGGUCACUGAGUCCCUACUAUGCACUUACUAGGAUUUGACAUUGCUUACUGGAAAUGGAUGUUCAUUCCUGAACACACUGUAACAAGGGAAGGACUUUUUUUGGCUGUUUUUGUAGUCAUUCAGAUUCUGAAACUGUGAUCAAUUAUUUGAUGAAUUGUCAAGUGUCCUCAGAGCUUGAACACAUUCACUUCCUCACCAUGUAGCAGUCUCCUCUGGCUUUCUGUGCUUUUCUCUGUCCCCCUUUUCCUUCUCGGAGCUUUAAGUCUGGGCCUGCUCUUAUCUCCUGUAGCUUUGGGCUGUCUAGGGGUUUGGGGGGGGUGGUUUUGGGGUUGUUUUUUUUUUUUUUUUGUUCAUUGGCUGUACAGUCUGUUUACAUAUUUUUGUACUCAAGUGUAGUUUUUUAUUAAAAACAGAAAAAAGAAAAAAAAGUUCAUUUCAGAAAAAAAAUAAGGUACGUACUCUUUUUAACACUUUAAAGAUCUAGGGUACCUUCGAGAUGACUCUACAGUGAUGUAAUUAUAAUACUGUAUAUUUGCCUUCCUUUUUAGUUGGUUUUAUUUUCUGUUUUAUUUUGGGUUUUUUUUCCUAAAAUAGAUAUCUUUUUAUGAGAAACUGGAAACUUUUAAUGCAAAUGUUUAGAAAGAUUUAAAAUUGUAAAGUUAAAAAAAAAAAGUCAUAUAAUUUUUUUUUCCUGUUGGAAGAAAAUGCUUUAAAAAAAACGUUUUACUACUGUUAUAUUCCAGGGUGGGGGUUACCAACCCCAAAUUUGCUUCUUAUGCUUCAUUCUUGGAUCCUGCUUUCUAAACGUGAUCAUUGCAGACAUGGAUGAUUUGUUUGUAUUAAUUCUAAAAACAAAAAUCACCAAUAUUUGGGUUAUUUUUCUGUUCAAGUGCAAUACUUACCCUGACAUCUUAUUAGUAUACAGUGGUUUCUGUGUUCCUUCCUCAGUCCACACAAAUCACUGAAACAAAAUGCUCUGCCCUAAAUGCAUUUAAAGAUUCAAGUAAACUGAUUGCGACCGACAAAAGAUGAGAAACUGUAAAUUAAGGCUAAAGCCCAUAAUUUACCCCCUGCUUGUCGUUGGCGUUGAAACACAUCCACAUCCAGAAUUAAGGACAUAGCUGUUCUUGACUCUUCCUUCCUCUUCUUUUCUAAUUGCAGCUUUUUUAAGAAAAGCACUUAAUAUUGGUGUUUAUUAAAAA
ensembl:lncRNA